UAUGUGGGUUAAGAUCCUUGCUCCUGAUAUCCUGAUGUAUGGGUUGCAUUUCAUUAUAUGACUCCAACAGAACACUCACAGAAAGGAGAAUGGUGUCAAACUACAAGACAGCCAGCAUGUAAACAAGGCCUUGUUUGUCCUUGUUUGGCUACUCAUUUGUUUACUUCCUGAAGAGGCUGAAGCAUGCUGGCCUUGACACCUCAGUCCUUGCUUCCAUUAACAGGUGUGUUACGGAGCGCAUCCUCACAUCAUGAUCUACUGCAGCGGUGGAAACAGAGGACAAU